AAGACUUCAAUGAAGGGUUGAGUAGGCAAAAAUAAAGGCCAAAGAGAGCCGGGUGAGGUGAAAGCCGGUGCCUGCUUUUUGCCGAACAUGGACCCGGAGAAACCUUUGCCGAAGUAUUUUCAGGUAAAGGCGGGUAAAAGCCCGAUAAAGCUAAAAGGCCGAAAAGGCGAAUUAGGGUGGUACCGCGGGUUACCCUCGCCCCUUUG
rnacentral:ncRNA from 1 species